rnacentral:lncRNA from 1 species
CCCAGCUCUCUUGAGGGUUGUGGAGUGUAGCUAGUAUUGAACAUGGAGAUCAAUUAUGCUCUGGCAUUGCUCUUAGUCCUCAUUCUCAACUUGGGUAGUUUGCUCACUUCUCUUGCUAACUCCUAUUGCCCACCACCAACAUACCCUCCAGUUCCUCACUUGCCACCCAAACACCCUCCCCAUGUAACUCCACCCUUCCACCCUAAACCACCAAAGAAGCCACCACCAUAUGUCAAACCACCUCAUGCAAAGCCUCCUCCUCAUGUACCAAUCAAACCCCCUCAUGUUAAACCACCCAUUGUAAAACCACCUCCUUAUCCGAAACCUCCAGUUGCCAAACCACCUCCCCAUCCCAAACCUCCUGUUGUCAAACCACCUCCCCAUCCCAAACCUCCUGUUGUCAAACCACCUCCCCAUCCCAAACCUCCUGUUGUCAAACCACCUCCCUAUCCCAAACCUCCUGUUGUCAAACCACCUCACCUAUCCCAAACCUCCUGUUGUCAAACCACCCUCCCUAUCCCAAACCUCCUGUUGUCAAACCACCUCCCUAUCCCAAACCUCCUGUUGUCAAACCACCUCACCAUCCCAAGCCUCCUGUUGUCAAACCACCUCCCCAUCCCAAACCUCCUGUUGUCAAGCCUCCAGUUGUCAAACCACCUCCCCAUCCCAAACCACCAGUUGUACUGCCUCCACCAUAUACCCCGAAGCCCCGGUUGUACUGCCUUCCACCAUAUACCCCGAAGCCCCCGGUUGUGCUGCCUCCACCAUAUACCCCGAAGCCCCCGGUUGUGGCCUCCACCAUAUCCCCCGAACCCCCCCGGUGUAUGUGCUGCCUCCACCAUAUACCCCGAAGCCCCCGGUUGUACUGCCUCCACCAUAUACCCCGAAGCCCCCGGUUGUACUGCCUCCACCAUAUACCCCGAAGCCCCCGGUUGUACUGCCUCCACCAUAUACCCCGAAGCCCCCGGUUGUACUGCCUCCACCAUAUACCCCGAAGCCCCCAGUUGUACUGCCUCCACCAUAUACCCCCAAGCCCCCAGUUGUACUGCCUCCACCAUAUACCCCCAAGCCCCCAGUUGUACUGCCUCCACCUUCACCACCUGUUGUAGUGCCAAGCCCACCAUCAACACCAACCCCAACCCCAGUUGUCCCAGUGAAGCCUCCUCCACCCACUGAAACACCAUGCCCUCCUCCACCACCAAAGGUAGUACCACCCCCAACAUCACCACCUCCAAAGUCGCCACCGAAGGACACGUGCCCCAUCGACACCUUAAAGUUGGGAGCUUGUGUAGAUGUGCUGGGUGGACUUAUCCAC